ensembl:lncRNA
UUUUUUGUGUUUUUUUUCUCAAUUUAAUUUUUUUUUUACUGUAACAUACCUUCUUUAUUUUAGCCUUUUAACCUUUAUUUUAACGUUAAUUUCUUUUUUUUUUUAAUUUUUUUUUUUUUUUUUUUGAUUUAUUUAUUUAAUUAAAAGGAUGAAUAGUAGGCGAAGAAAUAAAUAUGAUGACAAUAAAGAUAUGUCAUUACCAUUAGAAAAAACAGAAUUACUUAUAGAAAAUAUAUACAAUUUAAAAAAUUGUUUAUAUGUAUAUAGAAAGGAAAUACAAGAAAAAAAUAGAGAUCUUGAUCAUGUGAAUUCCAAUUUAAAUUUUUAUGAGUGUGUUUUAAGAAAUGUUGAUGUAGUAUGGAAACUAUUUAAUGAUGAUUUGCUUACGAUAAUAAAUGCAAAUAAAGAAAGUGAAAUAAGUUUAGAGCCUAACCCAAAAAAUAAAGAAGAAAAUAAAACAAAUGAAAAUGUUAUCAGUUCGAACAAAACUGACAAUUACCGUGAUGACAAACAUGGUGAAGCGCCUUAUUAUAAUAUAAAUAAAUUUGAACAGAUUUUUCUAAAGCACGUAAAUACAACUAAUGAGGAAGAAGAAGAAGAAGAAGAAGAAGAGCAGGAAGAAGCAGAAGAAAAAGAAUUAAAAAAAAUAGAAGUAAAAACAGAAAAAGAAAGAAAAAAUGGCGAAACGGGUGUCAUACAAAAUGACGAACAAGAAGACAUCGAAGAAGAUGACGAAAAACGUUUUGAUUUCUUCACUUCUUUAUCUGAUAAGGUAAAACACAUAUGGACAAUGCAUAAUAAUAACAAUAAUAAUAAUAACAAUAAUGAUAAUAAUAAUAACAAUAAUGAUAAUAAUAAUAAUGAUAACAAUAAUAAUGAUAAUAAUAAUUAUGACAAUAAUAAUAACAAUAAAAUAAAAGAAAACAGUGACACUAUCAACGAAAAGGAGAUUAAAACUGAAGAUAAUACUAGUGAUUUUUAUCACAAUUCAGUUGAUAGUAUAGGUGAAUAUAAAAUUUUGAAUAAAAAUAAAAAUAACGAAUAUAUUGAGUUAAACAAUUAUAACAGUAUUAGGAGUAGUGGCAGUUAUAACGAAUAUGAUAAUACUCAUAAGGAAACUACUGCACAUGAUAUUCCACUAAACAAUGUAAAAAAAGAAAAACAUGCAAAUAAUGAUGAUAUACAAAAAAUAGAUAAUAAUGAGUUAAUUAAAAAUAAUCCAAAAAUAAUGACUGGAAAUGUAAGUAAAAUUAUAAAAUCUGAAAAUGAAAAUAAUGUCAAUUUAGGUAAAUAUAUAAAACAAAAGGAUGUAAGUACAAAUGUAAUAAGAGUAGUGGAUGCUGCUGUACCAUCAAACGCUAGCACAACAGGCGACACGUAUGCAAGUACAAAUACUAACGGUAUCUGCAGAAUAAAAACUGGGCUACCAUCCAAAAGAGAGCGAUAUAAAGAAAAAGUUAUUAUAAAUUCGAAAAGAAAAAAAGAGUAUAACGAAGCAAAUGAUGAUAUUUAUAAUACAUGUGAAAGACCUGAGUUUGAAAAUAAAAUGAA